ensembl:lncRNA
UGUGUGUGUGUGCACAGCACUUUCGCAGUUUGCAGCGUGCGUGAAAUCCGUGCAAGGAGCUCCUGCUUGCAAGCAAAGGGAGCGAUCCGUCCUGCGUGGAGCAGGAGCAUGCACUGGAGUGCAAAGAGCUGAUCUGUAAGGAAAAAGAGCCGUGUGUCAGUGUGUGAGGGGGAGAUCAGAGCUCUGAUGGAACAGCACUGGAGAAAUCCUUCCUCCGGUUGGGAAGUUGCAGUUCAAACACAGUGCUGGCAUUCGGCAGAGCAGGAGUGAGAGCGCUGGGUUUGCUGCGAUGAGGUAAUCCCGAGCAGAGAUAAGGGAAGUGGUGCAUGUAUUAACCUGAAGGGAGCGGUGAUGUCAGCAAGGGGGAAGGAAAUCAAUGACUGCCAGGAGGAGGCUGUGAUUGCACGUGUACCUGCAAGGACGGGGCAGCCGCAGCUCUGUGCCCAUCUCAGCUCUCCCUGCACCUCGUGCUGGAAUUCUGGAUUCU